rnacentral:rRNA from 1 species
GGUGCUUGCACUUGGGGAUUAGUGGCGAACGGGUGAGUAACACGUGAGCAACCUGCCCCUGACUCUGGGAUAAGCGCUGGAAACGGUGUCUAAUACUGGAUAUGUCCCAUCACCGCAUGGUGUGUGGGUGGAAAGAUUUUUCGGUUGGGGAUGGGCUCGCGGCCUAUCAGCUUGUUGGUGAGGUAAUGGCUCACCAAGGCGUCGACGGGUAGCCGGCCUGAGAGGGUGACCGGCCACACUGGGACUGAGACACGGCCCAGACUCCUACGGGAGGCAGCAGUGGGGAAUAUUGCACAAUGGGCGGAAGCCUGAUGCAGCAACGCCGCGUGAGGGAUGACGGCCUUCGGGUUGUAAACCUCUUUUAGCAGGGAAGAAGCGAGAGUGACGGUACCUGCAGAAAAAGCACCGGCUAACUACGUGCCAGCAGCCGCGGUAAUACGUAGGGUGCAAGCGUUAUCCGGAAUUAUUGGGCGUAAAGAGCUCGUAGGCGGUCUGUCGCGUCUGCUGUGAAAUUCCGAGGCUCAACCUCGGGCUUGCAGUGGGUACGGGCAGACUAGAGUGCGGUAGGGGAGAUUGGAAUUCCUGGUGUAGCGGUGGAAUGCGCAGAUAUCAGGAGGAACACCGAUGGCGAAGGCAGAUCUCUGGGCCGUAACUGACGCUGAGGAGCGAAAGGGUGGGGAGCAAACAGGCUUAGAUACCCUGGUAGUCCACCCCGUAAACGUUGGGAACUAGUUGUGGGGUCCUUUCCACGGAUUCCGUGACGCAGCUAACGCAUUAAGUUCCCCGCCUGGGGAGUACGGCCGCAAGGCUAAAACUCAAAGGAAUUGACGGGGACCCGCACAAGCGGCGGAGCAUGCGGAUUAAUUCGAUGCAACGCGAA